GUGUCAGCAGCCGCGGUAAUACAGAGACUGCAAGCGUUGUUCGGAUUUACUGGGCGUAAAGGGUGCGCAGGCGGCCGGAUGUGUCGGGUGUGAAAGUUCGAGGCUUAACCUCGAAAUUGCGCCCGAAACUAUUUGGCUAGAGUGCUGGAGAGGGAAGCGGAAUUCACGGUGUAGCAGUGAAAUGCGUAGAUAUCGUGAGGAACACCAGUGGCGAAGGCGGCUUCCUGGACAGUUACUGACGCUCAGGCACGAAAGCGUGGGGAGCAAAAGGGAUUAGAAACCCCAGUAGUCC
rnacentral:rRNA from 1 species